ACGGGUGAGUAAAGCAUCGGAACGUGCCCUGAAGUGGGGGAUAACGUAGCGAAAGUUACGCUAAUACCGCAUAUUCUGUGAGCAGGAAAGCAGGGGAUCGCAAGACCUUGUGCUUUAGGAGCGGCCGAUGUCGGAUUAGCUAGUUGGUAGGGUAAAGGCCUACCAAGGCAACGAUCCGUAGCGGGUCUGAGAGGAUGAUCCGCCACACUGGGACUGAGACACGGCCCAGACUCCUACGGGAGGCAGCAGUGGGGAAUUUUGGACAAUGGGCGCAAGCCUGAUCCAGCCAUGCCGCGUGAGUGAAGAAGGCCUUCGGGUUGUAAAGCUCUUUCGGUGGGGAAGAAAUUGCUUCGGCUAAUAUCCGGAGUAGAUGACGGUACCCGCAUAAGAAGCACCGGCUAACUACGUGCCAGCAGCCGCGGUAAUACGUAGGGUGCGAGCGUUAAUCGGAAUUACUGGGCGUAAAGCGUGCGCAGGCGGUUGUGUAAGUCAGAUGUGAAAUCCCCGGGCUUAACCUGGGAACUGCAUUUGAGACUGCACGGCUAGAGUGUGGCAGAGGGGGGUGGAAUUCCACGUGUAGCAGU
rnacentral:rRNA from 1 species